CCUACGGGUGGCAGCAGUCGAGAAUCAUUCACAAUGGGGGAAACCCUGAUGGUGCGACGCCGCGUGGGGGAAUGAAGGUCUUCGGAUUGUAAACCCCUGUCAUGUGGGAGCAAAUUAAGACGAUAGUACCACCAUAGGCAGAGGCUGCUAACUCUGUGCCAGCAGCCGCGGUAAUACAGAGGUCUCAAGCUUUGUUCGGAAUCACUGGGCGUAACGGGUGCGUAGGCUGUUUUGUAAGUCGUGUGGGAAAUGCGCGGGCUCAACCCGCGGACGGCACAUGAUACUGGGAGACUAGAGUAAUGGAGGGGGAACCGGAAUUCUCGGUGUAGCAGUGAAAUGCGUAGAUAUCGAGAGGAACACUCGUGGCGAAGGCGGGUUGCUGGACAGUAACUGACGCUGAGGCACGAAGGCCAGGGGAGCGAAAGGGAUUAGAUACCCGAGUAGUC
rnacentral:rRNA from 1 species